rnacentral:rRNA from 1 species
UACGUAGGUCCCGAGCGUUGUCCGGAUUUAUUGGGCGUAAAGCGAGCGCAGGUGGUUUAUUAAGUCUGGUGUAAAAGGCAGUGGCUCAACCAUUGUAUGCAUUGGAAACUGGUAGACUUGAGUGCAGGAGAGGAGAGUGGAAUUCCAUGUGUAGCGGUGAAAUGCGUAGAUAUAUGGAGGAACACCGGUGGCGAAAGCGGCUCUCUGGCCUGUAACUGACACUGAGGCCCGAAAGCGUGGGGGGCAAACAGG